AAAAAACCGCAGCCCGACUUGAGCGGAAAUCCUUUUUUGCUUGUACUCAAUUUCUAUUUAAUUAAGAAAAGUUCUGCAAAAAAGAUUGGGAGCGGAAGGCGGAAAAGCUG
rnacentral:sRNA from 1 species